rnacentral:rRNA from 1 species
AUUGAACGCUGGCGGCAGGCCUAACACAUGCAAGUCGAACGAGUGGCGGACGGGUGAGUAAUGUCUGGGAAACUGCCUGAUGGAGGGGGAUAACUACUGGAAACUGUAGCUAAUACCGCAUACCAUCGGAUGUGCCCAGAUGGGAUUAGCUGGUUGGUGGGGUAACGGCUCACCAAGGCGACGAUCCCUAGCUGGUCUGAGAGGAUGACCAGCCACACUGGAACUGAGACACGGCCCAGACUCCUACGGGAGGCAGCAGUGGGGAAUAUUGCACAAUGGGCGCAAGCCUGAUGCAGCCAUGCCGCGUGUAUGAAGAAGGCCUUCGGGUUGUAAAGUACUUUCAGCGGGGAGGCGUUAACCGCAGAAGAAGCACCGGCGAACUCCGUGCCAGCAGCCGCGGUAAUAC